UCAUUGCACCCCUCAAGCGUAGCUGGUAUUGGGCCCUCGUCCCUGCGGACGUGCCCGAAGACGAUUGGCGUCGUCCGAUGUGGACUCAAGCGUAGUAAAUCUUUAUCUCCCGCUUUGGACUCCGCCCGUCGACGUGCCAAAACCCCCCACGAUUUUCAAUGAUUGACCUCGGAUCAGGUAGGGAUACCCGCUGAACUUAA
rnacentral:misc_RNA from 1 species